rnacentral:rRNA from 1 species
CCUCAGUAACGGCGAGUGAAGCGGUAACAGCUCAAAUUUGAAAUCUGGGUCUUUCAGGCUCCGAGUUGUAAUUUGUAGAAGAUGCUUUGGGUGCGGUCCCGGUCUAAGUUCCUUGGAACAGGACGUCAUAGAGGGUGAGAAUCCCGUAUGUGAUCGGUGGCUUGCGCCCGUGUAAAGCUCUUUCGACGAGUCGGGUUGUUUGGGAAUGCAGCUCUAAAUGGGUGGUAAAUUUCAUCUAAAGCUAAAUAUUGGCCAGAGACCGAUAGCGCACAAGUAGAGUGAUCGAAAGAUGAAAAGCACUUUGGAAAGAGAGUUAAACAGUACGUGAAAUUGUUGAAAGGGAAGCGCUUGCAACCAGACUUGCGCGGGGUUGAUCAUCCGGGGUUCUCCCCGGUGCACUCGGCCUCGCUCAGGCCAGCAUCGGUUUCGGUGGUUGGAUAAAGGCCUUGGGAAUGUGACUUCUUUCGGGGAGUGUUAUAGCCCUCGGUGCAAUGCAGCCUACCGGGACCGAGGACCGCGCUUCGGCUAGGAUGCUGGCGUAAUGGUUGUAAGCGACCCGUCUUGAAACACGGACCAAGGAGUCUAACAUCUAUGCGAGUGUUUGGGCGUCAAACCCAUACGCGUAAUGAAAGUGAACGGAGGUGAGAACCCUUAAGGGUGCAUCAUCGACCGAUCCUGAUGUCUUCGGAUGGAUUUGAGUAAGAGCAUAGCUGUUGGGACCCGAAAGAUGGUGAACUAUGCCUGAAUAGGGUGAAGCCAGAGGAAACUCUGGUGGAGGCUCGCAGCGGUUCUGACGUGCAAAUCGAUCGUCAAAUUUGGGCAUA